GACAGAGGUCCCGAGCGUUAGGCGGAAUCACUGGGCUUAAAGCGUGUGUAGGCGGAUCGUUAAGUGCCUUGUGAAAUCCCACGGCUUAACCAUGGAACUGCUUGGCAUUCUGGCGGUCUUGAGCCACUUAGGGGCAACCGGAACAAAUGGUGGAGCGGUGAAAUGCGUAGAUAUCAUUUGGAACGCCAAUGGUGAAAACAGGUUGCUGGGAGUGUGCUGACGCUGAGACACGAAAGCCAGGGGAGCGAACGGG
rnacentral:rRNA from 1 species